rnacentral:rRNA from 1 species
GACGAACGCUGGCGGCGUGCUUAACACAUGCAAGUCGAGCGGUAAGGCCCUUUCGGGGGUACGACGAGCGGCGAACGGGUGAGUAACACGUGGGUGACCUGCCCUCAGCUCUGGGAUAAGCCUGGGAAACCGGGUCUAAUACUGGAUAUGACUCCAUGACGCAUGUUGUGGGGUGGAAAGCCUUGUGCGGCUGAGGAUGGGCCCGCGGCCUAUCAGCUUGUUGGUGGGGUGANGGCCUACCAAGGCGACGACGGGUAGCCGGCCUGAGAGGGCGACCGGCCACACUGGGACUGAGACACGGCCCAGACUCCUACGGGAGGCAGCAGUGGGGAAUCUUGCGCAAUGGGCGAAAGCCUGACGCAGCGACGCCGCGUGAGGGAUGACGGCC